rnacentral:rRNA from 1 species
AGAGUUUGAUCCUGGCUCAGGACGAACGCUGGCGGCGUGCUUAACACAUGCAAGUCGAACGAGACCCUUUCUUCGGGAAGGUGUUCUAGUGGCGAACGGGUGAGUAACACGUGGGCAACCUGCCCCCGGCUCUGGGAUAACUCCAAGAAAUUGGGGCUAAUACCGGAUGUGACCGCUGACCGCAUGGUCUGGUGGUGGAAAGGUUUUUCCGGCUGGGGAUGGGCCCGCGGCCUAUCAGCUUGUUGGUGGGGUAGUGGCCUACCAAGGCGACGACGGGUAGCCGGUCUGAGAGGGUGACCGGCCACACUGGGACUGAGACACGGCCCAGACUCCUACGGGAGGCAGCAGUGGGGAAUAUUGCGCAAUGGGCGGAAGCCUGACGCAGCGACGCCGCGUGGGGGAUGACGGCCUUCGGGUUGUAAACCUCUUUCAGUAGGGACGAAGCCGUGAGGUGACGGUACCUACAGAAGAAGCACCGGCCAACUACGUGCCAGCAGCCGCGGUAAUACGUAGGGUGCAAGCGUUGUCCGGAAUUAUUGGGCGUAAAGAGCUCGUAGGCGGUUUGUUGCGUCGGCUGUGAAAACCUGAGGCUCAACCUCAGGCCUGCAGUCGAUACGAGCAGACUAGAGUGUUGCAGGGGAGACUGGAAUUCCUGGUGUAGCGGUGAAAUGCGCAGAUAUCAGGAGGAACACCGGUGGCGAAGGCGGGUCUCUGGGCAACAACUGACGCUGAGGAGCGAAAGCGUGGGGAGCGAACAGGAUUAGAUACCCUGGUAGUCG